UAACUACGUGCCAGCAGCCGCGGUAAUACGUAGGUGGCAAGCGUUAUCCGGAAUUAUUGGGCGUAAAGCGCGCGUAGGCGGUUUUUUAAGUCUGAUGUGAAAGCCCACGGCUCAACCGUGGAGGGUCAUUGGAAACUGGAAAACUUGAGUGCAGAAGAGGAAAGUGGAAUUCCAUGUGUAGCGGUGAAAUGCGCAGAGAUAUGGAGGAACACCAGUGGCGAAGGCGACUUUCUGGUCUGUAACUGACGCUGAUGUGCGAAAGCGUGGGGAUCAAACAGGAUUAGAUACCCUGGUAGUCCACGCCGUAAACGA
rnacentral:rRNA from 1 species